UGUCUUCUGAAACCAACUGGACAUCGCUCACAUGGUCAGUGGGUUUGAAUGAAGACCAGUGACGCCUCCGUGUCUCUGACGAGUCCAAAACAACAUGAAGCUUAUAUUUCACAGUUUAGUUCUUCUGCUGUGUUUGUUGUAACUUUUUGUAUAAUGGAAAAUAAAAACUGCUUGUUUCUGC